AUGGCAAUUUACAUCCACCAGCUCUUCCUCAUGGCUGCUGAUUUAACGCUGGCCUCCGCCGUCUCCUGUGCUCUGUAUGGACUAGCCUGUGUAUCUGUUGCCAGUCUUGUGGGUUUGCUGUUCUUCCUGCUUUCUGUUGGUGCUAUAAAGUGUGUGAAGAGGACCAUUGCCCGAAAAGUCAAUACCAUCCAGACCUUGGUUUCUAAAAGCACCCUAGGAAGUUUGCUUUUGAGGAAACGAGACCAAACGGGGCUCGGAGAAUUGGCAGUGGCCCAUGCCCCUGAGAAAGGCAGGGAUUUUGAACUGGAAAAGGAGUGUUCUUCAAACAUGGAAGUGGCACAACUGCAAGAGACGAAGGAGAAAUGUCAGAAGGCAAGGCACACCCUGACUGAAAGACCGCUCUCUCUGAAAGGAGUCUCUGAUGGGAUGAAGAAACCUUCAGUCAUAACGAAAGAGGAGACCAAGACACCAAAUGAAUAUGAAAGAAAAUAUAUUUCUCAUAAACAGAAGACUGGCUUCCGGUCUCUGACGGUCUUCAUUGCCCUUCUCUGGACUCCAGUUGAAAUAAUGUGCCCAUGUCUGAAGAAGAGAAUUUAUCAGUUUCUUGAUGCACUGCAGAAAUCAGAAGACUGACAG
rnacentral:lncRNA from 1 species